rnacentral:tRNA from 1 species
GGAGGGGUUCCCGAGUGGCCAAAGGGAUCAGACUGUAAAUCUGACGGUGAAACCUUCGGAGGUUCGAAUCCUCCCCCCUCCACCA